rnacentral:lncRNA from 1 species
GAGCACUUGGGGGAGAUCAGCCUAUUAUCUCUAGAGUAACUUUUAUCUGUUGAGCGACGACCCUUCCACUCGGCACCUCGGAUCACUAAGGUUGACUUUCAUCCCUGCUCGAUGGGUGGGUCUUGCAGUCAAGCUCCCUUCUGCCUUUACAACUAAAAAUAGUGGUAUUUGCUAGCAAUAACAUAAUAGAGGCAGUCAGUCAAUAUAGAUUGAUCUGAAAUCUGACUCAAAUCCAAUAUAGUACCUAUGGGUAUGUAAGAAAUGUAUUGCAUCGAUUCUUUUUAAUAAAUCGAUCCGAUCACAACUUCGAAUAUG